UGGGGAAUUUUGGACAAUGGGCGAAAGCCUGAUCCAGCAAUGCCGCGUGUGUGAAGAAGGCCUUCGGGUUGUAAAGCACUUUUGUCCGGAAAGAAAUCCUUGGCUCUAAUACAGUCGGGGGAUGACGGUACCGGAAGAAUAAGCACCGGCUAACUACGUGCCAGCAGCCGCGGUAAUACGUAGGGUGCAAGCGUUAAUCGGAAUUACUGGGCGUAAAGCGUGCGCAGGCGGUUUGCUAAGACCGAUGUGAAAUCCCCGGGCUCAACCUGGGAACUGCAUUGGUGACUGGCAGGCUAGAGUGUGGCAGAGGGGGGUAGAAUUCCACGUGUAGCAGUGAAAUGCGUAGAGAUAUGGAGGAAUACCGAUGGCGAAGGCAGCCCCCUGGGCCAAUACUGACGCUCAUGCACGAAAGCGUGGGGAGCAAACAGGAUUAGAUACCCUGGUAGUCCACGCCCUAAACGAUGUCAACUAGUUGUUGGGGAUUCAUUUCCUUAGUAACGUAGCUAACGCGUGAAGUUGACCGCCUGGGGAGUACGGUCGCAAGAUUAAAACUCAAAUGAAUUGACGGGGUCAUAGCUGUUUCCU
rnacentral:rRNA from 1 species